UACGGAGGGUGCAAGCGUUGCUCGGAAUUAUUGGGCGUAAAGGGUAGGUAGGUGGUCUCAUUUGUCUGGGGUGAAAUCCUUGGGCUUAAACUCAAGAAGUGCCCCAGAAACGGUGAGACUAAGAGUACUUGGAAGAGGCGAGUGGAAAUUCCCGGUGUAGCGGUGAAAUGCGUAGAGAGUCGGGAGGAACACCAGAGGCGAAAGGCGGCUCGCUGGACCAUAACUGGACGCUGAAUAGCGAAAAGCCAGGGGAGCAAACGGGAUUAGAUGAACC
rnacentral:rRNA from 1 species